CGGGCGGCAGCUACACAUGCAAGUCGAGCGGCAGCGACACAUUGAACCUUCGGGGGAUUUGUUGGGCGGCGAGCGGCGGACGGGUGAGUAAUGCCUGGGAAAUUGCCCUGAUGUGGGGGAUAACCAUUGGAAACGAUGGCUAAUACCGCAUGAUAGCUUCGGCUCAAAGAGGGGGACCUUCGGGCCUCUCGCGUCAGGAUAUGCCCAGGUGGGAUUAGCUAGUUGGUGAGGUAAGGGCUCACCAAGGCGACGAUCCCUAGCUGGUCUGAGAGGAUGAUCAGCCACACUGGAACUGAGACACGGUCCAGACUCCUACGGGAGGCAGCAGUGGGGAAUAUUGCACAAUGGGCGCAAGCCUGAUGCAGCCAUGCCGCGUGUAUGAAGAAGGCCUUCGGGUUGUAAAGUACUUUCAGCAGUGAGGAAGGAGGUAUCGUUAAUAGCGGUAUCUUUUGACGUUAGCUGCAGAAGAAGCACCGGCUAACUCCGUGCCAGCAGCCGCGGUAAUACGGAGGGUGCGAGCGUUAAUCGGAAUUACUGGGCGUAAAGCGCAUGCAGGUGGUUUGUUAAGUCAGAUGUGAAAGCCCGGGGCUCAACCUCGGAAUUGCAUUUGAAACUGGCAGGCUAGAGUACUGUAGAGGGGGGUAGAAUUUCAGGUGUAGCGGUGAAAUGCGUAGAGAUCUGAAGGAAUACCGGUGGCGAAGGCGGCCCCCUGGACAGAUACUGACACUCAGAUGCGAAAGCGUGGGGAGCAAACAGGAUUAGAUACCCUGGUAGUCCACGCCGUAAACGAUGUCUACUUGGAGGUUGUGGCCUUGAGCCGUGGCUUUCGGAGCUAACGCGUUAAGUAGACCGCCUGGGGAGUACGGUCGCAAGAUUAAAACUCAAAUGAAUUGACGGGGGCCCGCACAAGCGGUGGAGCAUGUGGUUUAAUUCGAUGCAACGCGAAGAACCUUACCUACUCUUGACAUCCAGAGAACUUAGCAGAGAUGCUUUGGGUGCCUUCGGGAACUCUGAGACAGGUGCUGCAUGGGCUGUCGUCAGCUCGUGUUGGUGAAAUGUUUGGGUAGUCCCGCACGAGCGCAACCUUAUCCUGUUUGCAGCGAGUAUGUCGGGACUCAGGAGACUGGCGUGAUAACGGAGAAGUGGGGACGACGUCAGUCAUCAUGGCCUUACGAGUAGGGGCUAACAAAA
rnacentral:rRNA from 1 species